CUGCCCUCAGAUCUUGUUUGGGCCUCGAAGACCUCGGCCGAGAGCGUCGCUGAGGCUCCCGUUCCCUUUGCGGGGGAGCACGAGAGGCGACGCUCUGCUUUCUCGGCGGGCCAGUCAAGACUCAACUUGGCCACCGCACGAGUCACCACCUCCAAGAGCUCCUCAUACCUAGGCGAGUGGGGUGGCGAAUCCCUGUCGACAGACUCCACAUCGACCUCCUCGGAGGAAGAGAGGCGGAGUGUCGAUCCCUCUCCCUGGGUGGAAGGAACCGCAGAGCGUGCUUCCGACUCCAGAGAUUGGGCGCCGGAUCUGGCAGAAGUGGAAGGAGAUAGGGACUCGCCCGUCUCCAUUCCCUCUGUCAGAUCCACUUGCGAACCCCACGAGUGCAGCUGCCGUUCUGCCUCGGCAGAAGCGGGGCCAGCACCGCGGGGAACGCUGGCGAAGGCUCCCUCCUCAAAGAGAGCCCUCCGGGAACGAAGCAGCCGCACCGACAUCCUCUCACAAUGCGGACAGUCGGCCCCCUCGAGAGCCGACUCGGCAUGCUUCGAACCCAGGCAGACCACUCACAGACUGUGUGUAUCCCCGCUCGUAAUGUAGCGCGGGCAGGGAGGGACACACAGUCUGAAACGCGAUCCGGAUUCGCCUUUAGAGUGUUUGGAUUUCGCCUUGCACUUGGACAUUGCUUGGAGCUCUACUGGACAGACAACAGUAAAUAAGACUCACAAGACAAAAUGACAUGCACACACAGAGCGCUUGCUGAAGACGCGAAGCUGAUGCCAGCUGCGCGGCAUGUGCUUUUAUAGCUUCCUGGUCGCUUACGUCACCCCGCCCGUGACGUCACGCUCUUCCAUUGGACUGAUUUCACACGAUAUUCAGAGUCGCUCACGCUAGACGCGUUCCCCAAAGCGCUCGACGCAGCUCGAGUUCCUGAAGAGGAACUGAUAUUUCCUACUGACACGCUACAGCAAAAGAUAGAAAAAAUACAGAUGUAAUACUAUAUCUCAUUUCAUUGUAUUUUGUUUUUAUUGAAAUGUGCAUAUUGCAAGGAGACGACGAAUACACAAGGUUGGGACAAAAGCAUCUUCAUGGCCAAAAAAAUAUAUAAAUAAAAACGGAAAAAUAAAGUUGCUCAAUUUAUAACAUUUUCCCCUUGGAGUCAUGCUUGGUUUCAUCUCACAUGAUUGUGGCAUCAUGGACUUGUCAUUAUCAACCCUCCUCUGCCCGUUUGAAAAGCAUUGGUCAGGAUGCCUCUCAUCUAGAAACUGAUGUCUAGGCUGGACCUUAAUCUUUACACCAUUAUGCUCCACUUAUGUCUGGUAAUUGUUGUCGUCUGAUGGUGAAUGAUCAGUUACAAAGCCUGCAGUUGUUUAAGGGUCACAUGUACUCACAUUGUGAGAAGAAUGACUCUCUUGUUUGCGGUCCGUUCACAUCAGCCCACAUCAGUGCUAACAAAGACACCACUCUCUGUUCACCAGGCCACAAUUACAAUGUGCCAUUACGGUAAAUGGAUUAUUGUGUCAGGGAUGAAGUCACAUCAGUCAGAGCCAUCAGGUUGCUAAUGUGAGUCACAAUGAUCCAUUUGGUUUUUUAGUGUUGUGAUGAUUAUACAGAGUGAGUAAAAGAAUGACAAAGCUACUCAGGAUAAUUAUCACGCAUCCUCAUUGCAAAUAAAGUCGGAAUAUCAAGCUACUCUCCCAUAACCGUUCUGCCAUUUAGUUAAUUAGUCUUUAGGGUUGUGUGUAUAUACUGCCCUUAACUGCUCUGAGCAAGAAAAAGGUUCUGAAAAUAAUACUUUGCAAUCAACUCACUUCCAGAUGUAUAUCAGUGAGUAAAAUGUAUUGCAGAAAUUUCAGUUCCCAUGAAUGGCUUUUUCAUUUGAACAUAGCAGGUGGUGAUGAUGUUUGUCUUGUCAUUCAAACUAGUCAAAGAGAAGACACACAGCUGCAGGGGUGGACAUAAAGGUGCUGUAAAUGAUUUCUUUAUGGAAUGGUAUACAGAAAAUGAUCCUACUUCAUGAAAUAUAUAUCUGAAAUAGCUGUUUUAAGAUAUCCUGCAAUCUCCAUGGCAGCCCUACUGUCUAUAAGCAGUAAAAUAAACAGUGGCUGUGAAACUGGAUCAGAUUCUUUGUUUAGCCAAUCAGAACACUUUUGAGGCACUUUCUGUCCAUCAGUCAUUUUUCUUGUUCACAAACAGCAAUCCAUACAUGGGAAACCAGAAGUCAUAUGCAUAGUGCAUUAGUGUCCGUCCAUUUAUCCCAUUGGGAUCUUAAAAAAGUUUUAGUUAAAGAGUUAUAAGCCAUGAAACAAACCAACCAGCCAGGGGCAUGUCUAGAGCAAUUUAAAUGUUUCUCCCUGAUUACGUUCCCAAUAUUUAAAGCCUGUGUUCUCCAUUAUUCCUUUGUCUGCUAUUGAUGUUUGAUCAUUUGGAUUUGUGUUUGGUUGUGCCCUUUCUCCUGUUGAUUAUUAAAAGAACUAUUUUUAUAUCUCCUUCGUCGUGCGCUUUGCUUUACAUACCUCAACACGUAACAAUAACAUUACAAACUUUGUUUUGAAGGUAAAAAUAUUUGAAAAUUGGACAAAAACAAAGGUGCAAAGUAGUUUGGUUUGUAAGUUAUCAUAAUAGUAAUAAAUAAAUCCCUUUAUGGAGAAAUUAAAUUGGAUUUUUAUUAUAGUUUCACCAAAGACUUUAUAUACACAGGUGCACACUAUUACUUAUGAAUGGGAGAAAGUGCAAUGCGCAAUAUGGUGACAUACUCCCGCCUUCUAAUAAAAGACCCAGUCACUAAUUGAUAAAGACCUGGCAUCACUGCAGCUGCCAUUAGAUUCUCGCUAUCCGCUUGUCAAGUCAUGACAUAAAGAGUGCUGCUUUUGGGACCAACCAUCUACUCGUUUCAUUUCAUCUUGAUAACCAUUUAUGAGCACUACUUAUUCAUAUAAAACAUUUGAGCUAAGCAUUUAAAAACUUCUACACUACCGUCUCCAUGCUUAUGGCAUCCCAGACACAAAUAUUUUAAUUUAUAAAAUGUGAAUCACUGUCUGGCCAUCUGAGAUUUCAGUAUGGAGAUAAAGGUAAGAAAUGUAACUUUUCAGUAGUAUUAGAUCACAUUGUAUAUACAAUUAUUGCAGUUUGGUGUUUUAUUUUGGCAUCUAAUAGAGCGCUUAUACCCAGAAGACUUGUGUCUUCUGAGUCUUGAGACGUGUGUUUUAGACUACACACGCCCACUGGUUGGUCUAGUUUGAAAAAUAAGCUUAAUGCUAUUUGAUCAUAAGAAACAAAAUUUAUGAGACAAUUGGUAAGAGAUUUCAUUGGUGAUUUUGAAUAUGAAAUUUAAUCAUAAGCUUGCUGAACAGCUUUGGAGAAUUUGAUGUUUCCCCAUUCAAUGAAAUAGGAGCCUACUUGCAUGACUAAAAUAGCUGCCCAAGAGGCAUUUCAAAGAUGGUCGUCAAAUGUAAUGACUUGCCUUAAAAGGACAUCGGUUGCACUCUAUGAAGUUAAAGUGGUGUUCAUGUGUUCUAAAUAAAAGACAGAGGCAAAUGAAGAGGCCAAAAGUGACAAAAUAAAGAAGAUGUGUGAACAUUAGUAAAGCCUUUUUUCACUAGAAGAAGCAGAACACUUCAAAGAGGUUGAAAACUGGUGUUAAGCUUUUGAUUGACAGGUAAAAUACCAUGCCAUGCCACAGCGGCAGAGUUGUUGAAAAAGGGCUAUGUCUAAAUCAGUGGUUUAAUCUGGCACAAACUCUAGAAUAGCUUCCAUCUUUUAAAGUGAAUGUUUACAUAUCAGAAGUUUCGCUUUAGUCUUUUAGGAUCUUCAGCAAAGUAUUCCCAAACUCUUCUGGUUGAUUGCCGAGACCUGCACACUUAAAUACAUGAUCAACAAUAUCAGUCCACUCUAAACAAACAACACAUCGCAUAUCAAAGAAACGCAGCAAUCUUCUGCAUACAUAUUGUCCUUUGCUUUUUGAGACACAAACUUUGCCUCAAGGCACUGAUCAGACUUGCAUGAGGUGGUGUGUUCAUUAUUGGACUGUUAUGGAUGCGGUGUUGGGGGCUGCCAUGUUAGAGAUAGCUGCUCUCCCUUGCUGAUGUGUGUUAGGCCCCCACAACCCUGAGGGUCCUGAGCCUGGCCCCUGACACCACACAGCAAGAGCCAAUAUGAGCCAUGCUGCCAGCUCUCUGCAUGCUAAUGUAAUAGUAUUAUUCCAUACUUAUUACAGCCCCUAAAGCUUUUUUCAGUUUAGUGCUAAUGUUAAGUAUCAAUUACUCUUAUUAAGAGUAAUUUGAAUAGUGCAAGCUCACAAAAGGAUG
ensembl:lncRNA